rnacentral:rRNA from 1 species
GAUGAACGCUAGCGGCAGGCUUAACACAUGCAAGUCGAGGGGUAUAGGUUUUCGGACCUAGAGACCGGCGCACGGGUGCGUAACGCGUAUGCAAUCUACCUUUUACAGAGGGAUAGCCCAGAGAAAUUUGGAUUAAUACCUCAUGGUAUAGUACAACCGCAUGGUUGAACUAUUAAAGUCACAACGGUAAAAGAUGAGCAUGCGUCCCAUUAGCUUGUUGGUAAGGUAACGGCUUACCAAGGCGACGAUGGGUAGGGGUCCUGAGAGGGAGAUCCCCCACACUGGUACUGAGACACGGACCAGACUCCUACGGGAGGCAGCAGUGAGGAAUAUUGGUCAAUGGGCGCAAGCCUGAACCAGCCAUGCCGCGUGCAGGAUGACGGUCCUAUGGAUUGUAAACUGCUUUUGUACAGGAAGAAACAGUUCUACGUGUAGAACCUUGACGGUACUGUAAGAAUAAGGAUCGGCUAACUCCGUGCCAGCCGCCGCGGUAAUAC